rnacentral:lncRNA from 1 species
CUCGACUGGUUACAGUAUUUCAGUUGUACCAAGAAUAUGCAAUCACUCUUUAGUAAAGAGUUGCUCUAGGUUAAGGAUGGGGUUGGACCCAAUAACUAUUAGAUAAGGGACCUAAUAAUGGCCUUGCACCUGCUUGUGAAUGGUGGGUCGGACUUAACUAAGGAGUGUGGUCAAUAACUGUUAGGUGAGCUCACACGACUUAGAGACCAAGUCACUGCAAC